rnacentral:rRNA from 1 species
GACGAACGCUGGCGGCGUGCUUAACACAUGCAAGUCGAACGGAAAGGCCCUGCUUUUGUGGGGUGCUCGAGUGGCGAACGGGUGAGUAACACGUGAGUAACCUGCCCUUGACUUUGUGAUAACUUCAGGAAACUGGGGCUAAUACCGGAUAGGAGCUCCUGCUGCAUGUUGGGGGUUGGAAAGUUUCGGCGGUUGGGGAUGGACUCGCGGCUUAUCAGCUUGUUGGUGGGGUAGUGGCUUACCAAGGCUUUGACGGGUAGCCGGCCUGAGAGGGUGACCGGCCACAUUGGGACUGAGAUACGGCCCAGACUCCUACGUGCGGCAGCAGUGGGGAAUAUUGCACAAUGGGCGGAAGCCUGAUGCAGCAACGCCGCGUGCGGGAUGACGGCCUUCGGGUUGUAAACCGCUUUCGCCUGUGACGAAGAGUGAGUGACGGUAAUGGGUAAAGAAGCACCGGCUAACUACGUG